rnacentral:sRNA from 1 species
UAUUCUGCCCUGCGGGGAAGGAUGAGAAGCUUCGACUUAGGUUCGACUCGAGCGUCAGCGAGAGAACGUUGCCGCAUGCAACGGCCCGAAGGGCAAGGCGCUUUAGCGCCGAGUAAUCCUUCCCCCACCACCA